UAUUUCAAAUUUAUUGAUUUUAGUGGUCAAAAUGCAAAAUUUAUAAUUUCAGUGGUCGAAAUGUGAAUCGCCCAAGAGUUCUGAUUCCUUCUGUUCAUAUCGCCAUGGAAAUACAGUCUGCACGCAUCCAAAUUUUGUACAAGAACCUCAUUAAUAGAGAAGUUGCAAGGAAAUACAAUAAAAUAAAUUUUCCUGUUACGGAGUCAGCGACUCCAAAUGCACAAAUAAUCCAUUUUUCUGCUCUUUAUCAAUACUUUGGGUAAAAAAAGGACUAAUUAAUAUUGCUGAUUUUGACAACAUGUAUUUUACAUGUAUGUGCAUGUGCGCACAUGAUAGACUGGUGUAAGGUCCAUGCAAUAAAAGAAAACAUAUUACAGUGGAUCUGUCUUGAUAAAAAGUUGGUAAUUACAAAGCCUGGUAAUAAUUAGUGAACAUAUUUGUUAGUGUUCCACUAUGCAUUUACGUAGGUGCACACUGAAUGGGGCUGGUGCUUCUCCAGUUCGUCCACGUGAGUUACAUACAGCAUGGGCAAUGUCACACAAAUACUUAACACAAAUCUAACCUCUUGCUUUUCGUAAUCCUCUAACAAUGGUUCUGGCAACACCUCACAACUCCAGUCCUCAUCCUCAUCACGUACUCCACAUUACACCGCCCACCCUCUGCCUCAAUCACAACUCUUCCUUUCUACCACACAUUCUCACCUUCAUCAUCCAACUACAGAUACUCAACCAUACACCCUAUUACAUCUGUCACAAUCACAUCCUUCUCUUCCAAGUCAUUCUUCAUUAAGUCUUCCAACACCUGUUCUUUGCCAUACCAAUGAUGGUUGUAUCAGAAAGGUGUAUCAAUCUAUUUCACUUCUUUCAUUUCAAAUUUAUUAAUUUUAGUGGUCAAAAUACAAAAUUUAGAAUCAGCUCAAUAUACGUGUAUGUUUCAUUUUUCUCAAAAGUUGAAAUAGUCGACAAUUCGUUGAGCAGUUUGGAAUGUUUGCAUUGCACACUGUUUGGUACCAUGAUGGCAUGGACCUACAUGUAUAUGGAAAAGUCAAGCCAGAGUGUAACUCUAGUUUGGUAUUACUCUGGCAUGACUCAUUCGUAGGUCAGCGAGUUUCUCCAGCAGGCAUCGGUUUACGCCAGUAUCCAUACCAUAGAGAUUCUUCACAUAAGCUGCAGUAAAUAAAUCAAAUAAAUGAACAUACAAAUUAAAAAUUGUUCUAGGCACUUCAGCCUGACAAUUCUCAGUAAAUUUUAACUAGGCUAAUCUGAAAAAUGGAAGGCUCCGCAAUCUAAAUUGUGUAAAUACACAUUAGAAAAACAUACUUUAAAAGUUAAGUUAAAAGUGACAAUAAUUGUACAUUGUUUCUUUAGCUGCGUGCAAUGCUUUUAUAAUGCCAAAAAUUGGCACAAAAUCACAUAGGUCUGUCUAGCUUAGGGAUGUAGCAAUUCGCAAGAUUGACUGUUAAGACUUACUUUUGAUGUAACUGACACGGCGCGGGAAAAGAGCAGGUCGUGCCUCCUUCCCCCUGUUGGGGAUCCAGGGAGAAUUCCCUCAGUGUUGCUGUUCCAUACAGAUGCACUGCUAAGUUCUUAGUGAACAGCGUUGCCUUCUUUUUGACAUUGAUGCAUUCAAGAGGUCAUGUGUACCUUAGGCCACAUGUUGUGGCAACAAAAAAAGUUUGGAAGUAAAAUUGUACUAAUUGACGUACAUAUUGAUGACCUCUUUCCCUAUCUUCUUUUGACUUGGGCUGUUGUCUCUGCAAAGUCUUCAGUCUCUUCUGGGAAUAAUUGAAGCAAAGUGUCUUCAGAGUUCUCAAUCAAUCGGCCAUCAGAUACACAAUGGCUGCUGCCUCAUCACAACUCCAUGCAUUCAGGCGGUCAUGUGUCCCUUAGGUCACAUGUGGUGUUUUUGGUUGCUUUGAUGUACCAGGUAUUGGAGAGAAAUCCAUCAAGCGAGUCCAGAAUAAGCAAUCUUUAUAAAAGAGAAGGACAUGUUGAUAUAUUUUAGGGUUGGUUGGUCAGCUUACAUCUUCAUGCAAUGUAUGUUAUUGUUGGUUUCAUUGAUUGAAGUGGUAUGCAAAUGUAGUAAGUGAAAAUUAAUAAUAAAAGACUAUAUAACUCACGAUUUAGCUUUCUGCUGGACUACAAUGCCAACCCAGUGAUUUCUGUGGGGAAAAAAAGAAGCGGCACAGUUGUAUUGUUAAUGUUCAGAUACAAUUGACAACUUAAACACUAGAUCUAUGCAGUCAUUUUUUAACAAUGUAGGGAAAACACCAGGAAACAUACGAACUGCAUCCAAGAGAAUACAUGCAUCACAGAAGGAUGUUUGAAACAGUAUACACAAUCAAAAGUAUAUGUAGACAGGCCAGCAUGCAAGCCUGCAAGCUAGCAUUUUUUACAUCACAAAAUGUAGGGAUUAAGUGGACAAUCAAAUGAACAUCAAGCAAAUAUUUAAAAGCAACUAAACUAAGGUGUUUCCAUACAAGUCAUUGUCGGUUUACAAAACAUAGAAAUAAUAAUACAGAAAUUAAAAUACAGAAAUAUUCAAAAUACAGCAUUUCUUUUCACAAGUGGUACUUACAAAGUACAAACUGAUAAAAGUAGGUUGCCAGUCUGUUGGAUUCUUGAGGCAGUGAUGCCCACUGCUCGCAGAUGUUGCUUCAUCCUUGGGACAGCUUGGUGAUAUGGAAGUGUUUGCAGCCAGCUGUUUGGUUGCAAAAGCUGCCCAAUGAAGUAUGGUAGGAUGAAGGCAUCUGCCGCAUUUGUUGUCUUCAUGAAGUGUCUAAACACAAACCCAGAUAUUGUGAUGUAAGACAUACUUCUAAUGGAAAUGAGACUAUAAAUUAUCGAACUUAAUUAACUUAGAUGCAUUUUUAAUAGAUACUGUGUUUCAACCACUUCAUACAGGACAAUUUCUUAUAUUAACAAAGUACAAACUGGAAUCAGUAAGUUGCCGGUAUCUUGGAUGUGUGAUGCAGUGAUGCCUACAGCUCUUAAAUGCUCUUACAUCUGUGGAAUUGUUUGCUUACCUAGUAGUUUUGAUUGGGUACCAGUCUUAGAUUUACCUUCGUUGUGCCAAUGUCGUCUAUGAACUUUACAGACAUCUUGUUUGUUGCCUUGUAUGACGGUCUGUGGAACCCGUGGAGGCCACUGUCCCACACCGUUUUCCUGUUGAUGUUGAAUUUGGAAAUGUCAGCAGUCAUUUUAAAAUCUUGUUGUGAAGAAGUGCUUAAAUAUUCUACUUUGCUUGGGUUGUCUCUAAAAAGUCUUUAGUCCCUUCUGCUUAACUGAAACAAAGAUGUCUUCGGUUCUCAAUCAAUCAGGCCCUCAGAUACACAAUGGCUGCUGCCUCAUCACAACUCGAUGCAUUCAGGCGGUCAUGUGUCCCUUAGGUCACAUGUGGUGUUUUUGGUUGCUUUGAUGUACCAGGUAUUGGAGAGAAAUCCAUCAAGCGAGUCCAGAAUAAGCAAUCUUUAUAAAAGAGAAGAACAUGUUGAUAUAUUUUAGGGUUGGUUGGUCAGCUUACAUCUUCAUGCAAUGUAUGUUAUUGUUGCCAGUCUGUUGGAUUCUUGAGGCAGUGAUGCCCACUGCUCGCAGAUGUUGCUUCAUCCUUGGGACAGCUUGGUGAUAUGGAAGUGUUUGCAGCCAGCUGUUUGGUUGCAAAAGCUGCCCAAUGAAGUGUGGCAGGACACCGGCAUCGGCAUUUUUAGUGUUCAUGAAGUGUCUGAAACACAAACACAGAAUUUGUGAUGUAAGACAUACUUCUAAUUGAAAUGAAAAUAUAAAUUAUGAAACUUAAUUAAAGACGCAUUUGUGAUAGAUCAUUGUUACAAGCACUUCAUACAGGACAAUUUUUUAUAUUUAUAGGUUUUUUUCAAAAGUGGUAGGCCCUACUUACGAAGUAUAAACUGGUAAAAGUAGGUUGCCAGUGUGUUGGAUCCGUGAGGCAGUGAUGCCUACUGCACGUAGAUGUUCCUUCAUCCUUGGGAUAGCUUGGUGAUCCGGUAGUAUAUAUAGCCAGCUGUUAGGUUGCAAAAGCUGCCCAAUGAAGUAUGGCAGGAUGAAGGCAUCUGCCGCAUUUGUUGUCUUCAUGAAGUGUCUAAACACAAACCCAGAUAUUGUGAUGUAAGACAUACUUCUAAUGGAAAUGAGACUAUAAAUUAUCGAACUUAAUUAACUUAGAAGCAUUUUUAAUAGAUACUGUGUUUCAAGCACUUCAUACAGGACAAUUUCUUAUAUUUACGAAGUACAAACGGGAAUCAGUAAGUUGCUGGUAUCUUGGAUGUGUGAUGCAGUGAUGCCUACAGCUCUUAAAUGCUCUUACAUCUGUGGAAUUGUUUGCUUACCUAGUAGUCUUAAGUGGGUACCAGUCUUAGAUUUACCUCCGUUGUGCCAAUGUCUUCUAUGAACUUUACAGACAUCUUGUUUGUUGCCUUGUAUGACGGUCUGUGGAACCCGCGGAGGCCACUGUCCCACACCGUUUUCCUGUUGAUGUUGAAUUUGGAGAUUUCAGCAGUCAUUUUAAAAUCUUGUUGUGAAGAAGUGCUUAAAUAUUCUACUUUUUCUUCCCUCUUUACACAAAGAGAGAGUUACAUACUAUUUCCCUCGCCCAAUUUAUUUCGGCAUCAACUCUGAAUUUCACGAACAUUUCAUUGUUCCUUGCUCUUAGAGUGCCAACAUAAAAGUUUGGAAGUAAAUAUUGUACUCAUUUAAUACAAAUGUACAUGUACAUGCAUUGUGAGGACUUCUUCCCUAUCUUCUUUUGACUUGGGCUGUUGUCUCUAAAAAGUCUUCAGUCUCUUCUGGGAAUAAUUGAAGCAAAAAUAUCUUCAGAGUUCUCAAUCAAUCGGCCCUCAGAUACACAAUGGCUGCUGCCUCAUCACAACUCGAUGCAUUCAGGCGGUCAUGUGUACCCUAGGCCGCAUGCUGUGUUGUUAGUUGCUUUGAUGUACCAGGUAUUGGUUAACUUUCUCACAUUGUGCCCAAUAUCUGGUACUGGAUAAGCCUUUUACAGUCUUACAGUGAGUCCUGACUUUGCAACUGAUAAAAAAAACAUAGAUAACAGACACAGGUUUCACACUGGAAACAUUCUAACAAAAUGGACAUCAAGAUGUACAUGUACAAUCUUGGUGACUUGAUUUCACAAUGAGAAAUUUAAAAAGAAGUCAAAGUUUAACUCUUAACCAUGAACUCUCUGAGAUUUUAUUCCGAGGGUAACAUGACUAUAGUGAACAAGAAUCCCUGUGUAAAUUAUUUCCUUUCUGCCAGCGUUUGUUGCUCAACUGUUGUCUGGUCCUGAUUGUCUAGUCUCUUCAAGACCAGUGCUUGAUACUGUGUCUCUAGACGCAGCAUCAGCAACCUUCUUCUAACUCUAGGCAUCUUAUGUUGGCAUCAUUUCUUAUUGAGUACUUCUCUUUUUUCUGUCUUCUUAUUCAGCCACUUUAUAUUACACCUUUUACACCCUGAUGACAAAAGUUGAGUACAGAGGCACUGAGGGCUCAGUGGUGUCAAUUCUUCAAAUCAUUAGUCACUGGUUUAAUACAUUCAAUGCCACACAUUAUAUUUAAGGGUUGAUUUCAUUGUGAUUUUGAAGUAAUAAUACUAGGGACCCUACAUCAUUAAAAAAAACCUCGAAACCUGUUGUGUUUCAAUUGAAAGUAGAAGUAAAUCUUAAAGCUCAUGGCUGUUUGAAUUUUGGAAACGGACAAGGGGUUGAUGAGAUAUUGUUUUGAAGGUUCUUUCCAAAGGUACCUUUGGAUCACCUUUGUGUGGGAAAACUUUGACAAAAAUUGGGGUGGCUUUGACUUUUUUUAUUGCCAGGAAUACCCCGAUCUAUCCCGAAUAAAAAUUCUUGAUGAUAUCAGGAGAAAUUAUCCCCAAUUCGCUGUUUGUAAGAAUAACUUAAGAAUGAAACAAAAAUAAUCAAGAACUAGGUACGAAUUGGAAGCCGAAUCAGACCAAAUAAGCCAAAUUAUUGCGAUUCAGUGCAGAAUAAAAUUUAUUUAGUGCGAUUUUGUCAAAAAUAAGACACGAAAAAACUCCAGAAUCAUCAAGAAUGACCCAGAAUUAUGCCGAUGUAGUGUAUUUGUAAGCUAUUCUUAUAAUAUUUGUACAUUUCUUGCAACAUUCGUAAUGACUAUGCAUGAUUUUGGAAUCACAAAGAAUAACAGUAACUCUAAUAAAGUUGUAAGAAUACUGUACGAAUAUUUAGAGUGCUGUAAGAAUAUCCAGAAUUACAUUUAGGAUUGAACACAACAAGAAUAAACCAAGAAUUGAAAUUGGUUCCCGAAUCACCCCGAGAAUUGUGAACAUGUCCAAAAUUGUCGGGGCGCUUCCCGAUCUUUAACAAUCUUUCACGGAACUAACAGAAUCAUCCCGAAGCAGCCAAGAACCAUUGCCCGAUUUUUACUCAAGAAUUGCUAUUGGCGGCGAUCUUGCUUAAACAUGUGCACCUGGUGCAGACCCCUGUUUAGGUGUAAAAUAUUUGAUUCAGGCAGUCUGAAAUUGGGACACAAAGCCUGAGAUAUGCCCUUGUUCAAAUGAUAAGAUAUCGAAUUGGGCACUUUGUGAUUGUGAUCACUUGUUAAUACAUGGAAACAGCAAUAAAUAACAAUAUUAGAAAACCAUGGAGCAGGCACUUUUCAUUUGAUAAGUAAAGUUUGUAUUACAGAGUUGUGUUCAAAAAUGUUACAUAUUAAGACUUCGGUGAAACUAUUACACACUCAGUAUAUUCCAAAUUAUGAUAAAUUUGUUUACUACUUUCUGUUAUGUAAACUGAGUUUUAAAUGAGUAAUCAAAAUAAAAUUGCCAAUUGCCAAUGCUCAUUAA
rnacentral:lncRNA from 1 species